UGAAACAUUGCACAGUAGUGUAGCUGAGCUGCUGCCCUGGGUUUGCUCCUGUCCUGUCCGUGUGGGGCCUGUAUGUUUUUUUCUGGGACUGUGAGGGCUCCUCCCAGAUUCUUUUGACCCCUCCUCCAUCCCAAGGAGGUGUAGGUUGGUAGGUGAACUGGCCACUGUGAAUUAUCCCUUGCAUGUGAGUGAAUGGUAGAAUCUGGGGAAAACUGGUGGGAAUGUGGGGGGAGUAAAAUGUGGAAUUAGCGUCAAUGACUGGUGGUCAGUGCUGUCUCGGUGAGCCAAUGGGUUUGCCUCCAUGUGCUGUGAUUUUAGCUCUAUCAGCGUGGCAAGCUGCCAUUAAUUAUGUUAAUUCUUUCCUGCAGUUUUGACCCAACUGAGUGAUUUAUGCCAGCACUUCCUCGGAGGAUCGGAGGUGGAGAGGGUCAGCAACUUUGAAUUCCUCUGUGUUAUCAUUUCAGAGGAUCUGCUCUGGGCAGCCUGAAAAAAACACUAAUUGGCGCGGAUCUUUGAGUCCUAGCGUGCAGCAAGAAUCACCUGCUGUGCGAACUCGAAGCGAUGGGCUCAUUGCAGCUCGUGCUGGUGGCAAAGCUCUUCAACUCCAUGUCCUGUAUUGUCUUCAGCCACUUAAUAGCUGUUCCCCCAACCUGUGACCUGCACCACCAAGAUGGCGAGGGCAGCAUCUUCGUGGAACAUCCGGCGGAGGUUUCACCCUAAAUUGCACGUCAUCCUGACCUGCAAAUGUGUUGUCAGUUGUUCAUUGUUGCCAGGUUUAACUCCUGGAACUUCCUGCUCAACAUCGCCUUUGGAGGGCAGGAGGUACGAGCCUUAUUUCCCCUUACAACCACCAAUGGAUAACCUCACUCGCCUUAACUCUGAACUGAUUUCAUAACCUGCACGCUCACUGCAUGCUCACACUUCAGCU